GUUGUCGUUGCGGCGAAGGAGACAGAGAAAUAUUGCGUAAGCGUCAGAGACUACGAAAGUUGGUCGCUGCACCAGCUGCAUAGCUUGUCCUCGUUCGUUUGGAUUACACACGCCUUGGUAGACGCGGAAAACCAUCUGUUCGUGUAAACAAGGAAACAGCACGCCCCCGUCUUUACGCCUAUUUACGAAUUGUUUCGCUAAAUUGCCUGUGCACCGGCUAUGAAAAUAGACUUAAGGCGCGCGUCUUAAGCGUUGUGCGGAAAUAGUUAAGUGUCAUAAGUUGUUGCCAUUUUUUCCAUCAUUCUGCGGUUACCUACAUUAUCCAUUGAGGAAGAGUGUAUAGUGUGGCUACAAUGAUUGUAAUACAUACAAGUUGAUUUGGAAAGUUUAAUAAAUACAUAUUUGAACACUUUUCAUGGGAAAAAUUUAUGAAUGUAAGUAAGUUUAUAUAUGUACUUAGUAUUAUGUGUAAUUAAAAUUGAGUGUUAUAGUGCAUUUAGUCAAUUAAGAAAGUAUAAUAAAUUUUCUAUAGAAAUGUUCUAUAUGUAUAUAUAUAUAUAUAUAUAUAAUGUGCGUGUGAUAUAAAAUUUUUGAAAGUAUCUAAAGGUAUUUAAGAAAGUGUAAUAAAUACAUAUUUAUAGAAAAGUUUUAUAAAUAUAAUAUAUAUAUAAUAGAAAAUUUUUUAAUAUUAUACUAUUUUAAUAUUGUAAUAUAAUAUGAUAUUAUAUUAUACUAGACAUAACAAUUUUAUAUAUGUAUUAUGUUAAUUAAAAUUAUCACUUUCAAAAAUCAUAAAAUCAAAUGCAUAUUAUAAUUAAAGAAAAUUAUAUUAUUGAUCUAAUUGAUCUAAUUGAUCUAUUGAUCUAAUGUGUAUAUAAUAUGUAUGUAAUAAAUCUGAUAGUAUUGUUGUUUAAUAAAAAUAAUUGAAUUAUUUCGUUUUAAAAAUUUGAUAAAAUCCUAUAUACCUAUUUCUCUAAAUUUUCUUUGUGCCUUUUUUUAAAAUAUAGAAGUAUUGUUAAAUGUAGAAACUAGUUUUUAAAUAUUUACAUAUUUGAUGAAUUUCCAAUAUCAAUUGUUUCAUGAAUUUGUAAUUUCAACUUAUAAAUAUUACAUUACUAUUUUUUUUUCUUACUUUUCAUAUUGUAGAGAUAUAUAUGUUUAUAUGAAAUAAUAGGUUAACUAUAAAGAAUAUGUUUUAUUCAUAUAAUGAUGAAAAAAUUAUGGAAAAUUUUAAUUUUCAAUUAUUAUCUUAUAAUAUAUUUAUGUGUACAUAGUAAAAGAAAAUCAACAUAUUCUUAUUGUUGAAAUAAAAAAUUUUCAUAUUGCUUUUAAAAAUUCAUAAGAUUUGAUAAUGAAACAUGCACAACACUCUCAAAACAUAGAAUUAGUUUAUUUUUAAAUUUCUUAUUGCGCAAUUCACUUUUUUUAAAGAAAUGUUAUGAAUGAGAUAAAAUUUUUUUUGUUAUGUUAUAAAAUAUUCUCUUGUAUAUAAUAUUUAUUACAUAAUUAUAUUUUCUUAAAUAAAUAGUUAUAUAAUAUAUAAUACUUAUCAAAUAUCGUAACUCGAAAUACAUAAUUUUUGCAAAUAUUAGCGAUAUUUCAUUUGUAAUGGAAUACGAAUAGCGCUAUUCGACGAAAUUUAAUACGUUUAAUCUGUGAUUAUGUAUUCUCAUUUAGAUAGCGUUGCAGCAGAAUUAUAAUAUUUAAUAUAUUUAAUAAUAAAUAUUUACAAGCACAUUAUUCGAGAUAUUUAACAAGAAUUUUAUGAAAUUUGAAUUAUUGAAACACAUAAAAUAAUAAAGAAAAAAAACUAAUAUUAUAAAUAGAUCUAAUAUUUAAAUCAUAUUAAAUUAUUUAAUAUAAUUUGUUGUUUUUUAUUAAAAUUUUCAUCGAAAUAAUUAUUAUUAACUUGUUGAUGUAUAAGGAUGAAUAAAGAAACAUAAAUUGACAAAUUUAAAAAAAUAUCAUUAUAUUUAAUAUUUGUUUAAAUAAAUAUGGAAUUGAAAUUAAUUAUAAAUGCAAGAUAAAUAAAAAUGUCGAAAAAUUAAAUAAUAUUGUUUCUAUAAAAAAUUAAUAUAAUUACUUAUUCCUUUUUAUAAAAUAUUUUUUAUAUCCAUAUGAUACAUAUCGAUAAGAAUCAAGUAUAUAGGAUACGAUAUGAAAAAGAAAUGCGGUUUAAAAAGAAGUUGAAUAAAAAAUAAAAAAGAGAGAUAAGGAGAAAGUAUAGUUUAUGAUGUGGAUUCGAGAUGACACGUUUAUGCUUAAACGUGGGCUGUGACACAAUAAAGAAACGGAGAAGCAAUAACACUUGAUAAAGAAAUGAACAGAGAAAUUGUUCUUCCUUCGACGAUAUCUUCCUUAUAUUCAAAUGAUUAUUUUCAGAGUCUUAUAUUUACAAUAUCUUCUCUUCCUGUCCAUAAAAUUUGAAGAUGUUUAAAGAGAGAAUGUACCAAUGUUUAUUUAUUAUAUCAGUGUAAACAUAAACAUGAACAAACAUAAUUGAAAUGAAUACUAUAAUAUAUAAAUAUUAUUUACAUUGAACGAACGUGAAUAAAAAAAUACCAUAAUAUAAUAACAAAAAUUUUUAUUACAUCAAUUAACACAAUAAGGAAAGAUAUAUUAUGUUUUCAUAUAAUAUAUUUCUUAAAAAGUCUUGGAUCUUUCACUUUUAAAACUUUAAUAUUUGAAAAGAAAAUAAAAAAUUAAAAUUUUUUUUAAAGUAUUCAAAUCAUUUAUUUAUACAUCAUUUAUUAAUAUAUUUAUGAGUUACUUUUGAAAAGGAAAUUCUGGGAAUAUUUCAAGAUAUUGGAUAAGAGGAAAAUUACUAUGUGUUAAAAAACUAUUGAAAUAUAUUCGAUUCAUCUUUGUUUAAAGCAUGAUUUAUGUCUCUUGACAAGUACUGUAAUAAUUCCUCUAAAAGGCAAUCGUUAUGAGAUAAAAGUUUCACCAGAUGAUUUUCCACCAGACAACAGAAGAUGGGGAACGAUCAAGCAUUACAUAAUACUAUUGUAAAUGUGAAACAUAUUACAGGUAUUAAUAGAAACCUAUAAUGUUGUCAUCUGCGAAAGUUCAACGAAAGUUUCAGGUGUAAUCAUCAUCAAAUUUUAACGUGUGAAAUUAAUGCAAAACGAUUCCGUUGAGAAAAUGUGGCUAAUUAUUUAAUAUAUGUAUAUAUUAAAUAACUAAUAAUAACUAAUAAAUAAUAAUAAUUAAGACAA